UACGUAGGGUGCGAGCGUUAAUCGGAAUUACUGGGCGUAAAGCGUGCGCAGGCGGUCUGUUAAGACCGAUGUGAAAUCCCCCGGGCUAAACCUGGGAACUGCAUUGGUGACUGGCAGGCUUUGAGUGUGGCAGAGGGAGGUAGAAUUCCACGUGUAGCAGUGAAAUGCGUAGAGAUGUGGAGGAAUACCGAUGGCGAAGGCAGCCUCCUGGGCCAACACUGACGCUCAUGCACGAAAGCGUGGGGAGCAAACAGG
rnacentral:rRNA from 1 species